rnacentral:lncRNA from 1 species
AGCAAUUGAAGUGAGAGAACACGAGUCUUACUAAAGCAAUGCUGUCGUAGAUUGUCCGUUACAGUUGUGGAUAUAGAAGAUCUUUGGUGUUAUCUGUAUGAUACGUCUCGAUAGCCAUCAUGACAGAAUUGUUUGCUGUUGUCAAAUUCACAGAAGAAAAUGAUGCAAUCGAUGUAGUUCCAACAAUGUGGAUAAUUAAUAACGAUACUGCAUCCUGGUAUCCAAAUGUCACUUCGGACGAAACCAAAAAUUCCCUUGUUAAAAGAUGUGCUCAGGUCGACACCAAAACAUGGACAGAAAAUCCUAUUAAAGUGUUGGGAAAAUACAAAACAUACCAUGAAGCAAUGGAAAAAGUUCACAUAGCUGAAGUUCAAUCGAAUCUUUCCGACGCUACUGUCGUUAUUCAGAAAAAAAGAAGCAGGAAACGAAAAAAUCUAAAGUUGCCGGGAGAAGAUUCCACCAGUGAAAGCGAUGCUGAAGGUAGCAGGAAAGGGACGAGGAAGCAUCAUAAAAAAUCUCAAAGCAAAUUGGCGGCUAAUGGGUCAGGGAAAUUGGUCUACAAAAAUUUCCCUGACCCACCAAGUAUUUCCCCGAAGAGGAGCAACGUACUCAACUUCAACAAUGAGGCCCGCAUCGAUGUAUCUGAUUCAUCCUCUUCAGCGCAUGAAAAUCUAGGAAGUGAUGACGAUGUAGUCCAUCCAGAAGUUCAACAGCAAGUACCUUCACAAACGGCGCCGCAAAAAGCAAAUAGCCAAGCAGAUGGAUCAACAUCAGCUGGAACACUGGAAGAUGUGCUAGCUAGAGUAUCAUACCUGCAAAUAUCUCUUGACGCAGUACUCGAAGCUACAAAAAAUUUCUCUAAUCAGCUCUCACUGAUGAAUGCAAAACUGGACGCGCUAAAUAAUAAUUCUGAAGAUCAGCAUAAAAUAAAGGUAGCGGUGAUUAAUUCGAUCCCUGCUAAAAGUACUGAUGAUCUUGAGCUUCUUAACAAAGCCAUUCAAGGCAGCCAAGCUGCGAAGCUUCAGUUGGAAACAACCUUGAAAGCUGUCGCAGAACAAAAAGUAUUGAAUACAGCUCAGAACAUGAUGCAUAAGAUAUUUACGGAUGAAUUGGGCAUGCAAUAUUGUCUUAAAGGAAAGAAUCCUAAUAAAAAGCAGUUCGACAUAGAUCCCAUUUACCACCUUAUUAUUGAGUGUAUAAAGACAGUUUUCCCUCCAACAGAGAAGGUAGUGACUGAAGCGAGAGAAGCUAUCAGUAAUUGGUUCACGCAAUCAAAACACCGCAUCGAUAAGAGAAAGAAACGUGCUGAAGAUAAAGUGAAAAAUGCGGCUCAAAAAGAAGCUGAAAGAGUCAAAAAAGCGGCUGAAGAGGAGGCCGAAAGAGUCAAGAAAGCAGCAGCAGAGGCAGCUGAAAAAGCCAAGAAAGCGGCUGAAGAGGAAGCCGAACGGGCCAAGAAAGCAGCAGAAGAGGCAGCUGAAAAAGCCAAGAAAGCUGCAGAAGAGGCAGCAGAAAACGCCAAGACAUAG